UACGUAGGGGGCAAGCGUUGUCCGGAAUCAUUGGGCGUAAAGUGCGUGUAGGCGGUCCGGUAAGUCCGCUGUGAAAGUCCAGGGCUCAACCCUGGAAUGCCAGUGGAAACUGUCGAGCUAGAGUCCGGAAGAGGCGAGUGGAAUUCCUGGUGUAGCGGUGAAAUGCGCAGAUAUCAGGAGGAACACCAAUGGCGAAGGCAGCUCGCUGGGACGGUACUGACGCUGGAGACGCGAAAGCGUGGGGAGCAAACAGGAUAGAA
rnacentral:rRNA from 1 species